CACGUAGGGGGCAAGCGUUGUCCGGAUUCAUUGGGCGUAAAGAGCUCGUAGGCGGUUCGAUAAGUCGGGUGUGAAACCUCCAGGCUCAACCUGGAGACGCCACCCGAUACUGUCGUGACUAGAGUCCAGUAGGGGAGCGUGGAAUUCCUGGUGUAGCGGUGAAAUGCGCAGAUAUCAGGAGGAACACCGGUGGCGAAGGCGGCCAUCUGGACCGCAACUGACGCUGAGGCGCGAAAGCGUGGGGAGCAAACAGG
rnacentral:rRNA from 1 species